UCGACGCUUUGGUGUGACGGGCGGUGUGUACAAGGCCCGGGAAUUCUUUCACCGGAGCUUGCUCAUCGAAAGAAAAAGAGUGGCGAACGGGUGAGUAACACGUGGGUAACCUGCCCAUCAGAAGGGGAUAACACUUGGAAACAGGUGCUAAUACCGUAUAACACUAUUUUCCGCAUGGAAGAAAGUUGAAAGGCGCUUUUGCGUCACUGAUGGAUGGACCCGCGGUGCAUUAGCUAGUUGGUGAGGUAACGGCUCACCAAGGCAACGAUGCAUAGCGCUCCUGAGAGGGUGAUCGGCCACACUGGGACUGAGACACGGCCCAAACUCCUACGGGAGGCAGCAGUAGGGAAUCUUCGGCAAUGGACGAAAGUCUGACCGAGCAACGCCGCGUGAGUGAAGAAGGUUUUCGGAUCGUAAAACUCUGUUGUUAGAGAAGAACAAGGAUGAGAGUAAAACGUUCAUCCCUUGACGGUAUCUAACCAGAAAGCCACGGCUAACUACGUGC
rnacentral:rRNA from 1 species